AACGCACGAGACCUGCGGACCUGCGGAGGGAUCAUUACCGAGUUAGGGUAGUCACUCACUGCCCGACCUCCCAACCCUGUGUCUACCACACUUUGUCGUUGCUUCGGCGGACUGGUUGACCAACUGGUCGUGACCGCCGGGGGCUGGCUCUGUCCCCCCUGGAGAGCGUCCGUCGAUGGCCCAACCACAAAACUCUUGUACCGAAACGUGUCGUCUGAAUUAUAUUUGAGAAAUCAAAAA
rnacentral:misc_RNA from 1 species